rnacentral:lncRNA from 1 species
CUCUCCGCGAUAAGCCCAAUAAUUAAAAAGUAUAACAAUAAUAAAAGAAAAAGAAAGCAGACCUAAUCUAAACUAUUCAUGCCCAAAAUUUAGGCGGCGCCGCUCUUCUUCAUCUUCACUCUUCACGCUCAUUUCGUCGUUUUGCUUUGAUAUUCUUUUCUUCAAGUCCAUUUCUCAGAACCAUUGCAGCCAUCUCGCCGCCGGACGGCCAACUCCGCCUUGCCUUCUUUGGCAGCAGCCGCAGCACGGCACGUCUCCCUUUUUCCUUCUUCUCUCCUCCUUUCUUUCACUCUCUAUCUCUCUCGUAACCUCACAUCGACAUCUCUCUUGCCUAUCACUCAUCGCCGUACGAACCAUCUUGCCUUCCACAACAACAGCGGCGGCACCGCUCAAGCAUACAGAAGUCAGUCUCUCCGACUCAUUUAUGUGGCCUUAAAAUCAGCAGCCAACAUGUAACUCAUUUAUGCCUUCAAACAUCAUUUUUCAUUCUCAUUCUCUUUUCUCCAUCCACGAAUUUUCA